CACGCGUGAACCACGCUCCUCGGGGAGGAGGGCCGGCUGCAACCCGGUCGGCCAGCGGUUCGACUCCGCCAUGCGUGUCCA
rnacentral:tRNA from 1 species